UUCUUAAUGUUUACGUAUUUCUAUGGCUUCUUAAUUUUACACAUUUCUAUGGCUUCUUAAUGUUUACGUAUUUCUAUGGCUUCUUAAUUUUACACAUUUCUAUGGCUUCUUAAUGUUUACGUAUUUCUAUGGCUUCUUAAUUUUACACAUUUCUAUGGCUUCUUAAUGUUUACGUAUUUCUAUGGCUUCUUAAUUUUACACAUUUCUAUGGCUUCUUAAUGUUUACGUAUUUCUAUGGCUUCUUA